CGCGGAUUGGGCGCCUGGGGCUGUGCGGGACGCCGGCGGCGGCUCUCCCUCCAGCGCCCCGACGCUGCCCCUAUUCCCGCCCACUCACGGAGAGGGAAACUGAGGCGCGCCGCAGUUGCCACGUUGGAGGGGACCAAACGGCAAGGAACCGAAUGCUGCCAACAUCUAGUGAGUGAGCUUAGAUGCAAAUCCUUCCCCAGCCAGCCUGCGAAUGAGACCACAGCCCAGGCCGACAGCCUGUGAGAGACCCUGAGCUGGAGGAGGCUACGCCCAGACUCCUGCCCCACAACAACCUGCAUUGUAGUUUCGUGGUUGUGUUUUUAAAAGGAAUCCUCAUCUUUUGAGAGGCUCAAACCAGCCUGUUUGCAGAUGAAAUGAUCCGAUGUCGGGGAUUUGCUUCAAAGUCAUGGCAGUCUCUAAGACGACAAUGAUUCCCCGGGACCAGCUUAUUAAAAGCAAAAAAAAAUCCAGUGGCAGAGGGGACGUGGGGGACCUGGAUGAGAUCUGUGAAGCCUCGGUGGAUGCUGUGUGGAUCUAUGAGAACCCCAGGCCCCAUGGAGGUCCGUGGGGGUCCCUGAAGGCAGAGCUGAUGCUGAGCUGUACCCCCAUCUGGACAACGGAUGGCCCUGAUCCUCUCUGCUCAGAAAUGCCCAGUGCGAUGGAUGGAUGUGUGUGUCCCCACCACCCUCCCCCCCCAGGAGGUCCACAAGGAGCCCAAACCCACCAAGACAUGCAGCGUGACGUGCUCUGGGCCACAUUCUUCAUGCUCGCAACCUCCCGAUGGGGCCCGCGGUGCACAAAGCAGCCCAGUGAGAGAACACACCCACCUUCCCAGCUCUGGCUUCCAGAUGGUGCCGGCCUGGCCUCCAGGUUUCCACGGUGGGGAAGGGAUGCCCUCCCCGCCCUCUGGAGUCCCCGAGACCCGCCUGUUCCAGGCUCUGGCCUGGUGGCGGAGAGGGGAAUGCUUUUUCCCGCCUUCCUCCGGGCUCCGUGACACAGGCACCUGGGUCACAGAUGUGUCCCGCAGGGAGACAAAGGUGGCGAUGACCUAACCACCCCCACAGCGGGCAGUUCCUUGAAAAGGCGUGAGUCCCCAGCUCUUUCGGGAAGCAGCUCGGCGGAGUGUAUCAGGGGCCUGGAAAGGUGGACGCUUCCCUCUUCAGCGAUCACACUUCUGGGAAUUUGCCCGAAGGAACUAAUCCUAAAAAAAGAGAAAAGAAAGACCACACCCCCAGGGAUAUCUACCAAGGUGACAAGUCCAAUAGGAAAUCAUUGGGUGCGACCGCUCCCAGCCGCAGAGAAAAAAUAGAUUCUGCAUUGUAACCCAGUUAUACGCGGAUGCUGGCGUAUAACUAAACAGAAAACAGACAGAGCAUGAACGGGCGAGGGGCAGAGAGAGAGGGAGACACAGAAAC